CAGAGGGUGCGAGCGUUGUCCGGAAUCACUGGGCGUAAAGGGCGCGUAGGUGGCGGCCCAAGUCCAUGGUGAAAGCUCGCCGCUCAACGGCGAGUCGGCCACGGAUACUGGGUUGCUCGAGCACUGUAGGGGGCAGAUGGAAUUCCGGGGUGUAGCGGUGGAAUGCGUAGAGAUCCGGAAGAACACCAGUGGCGAAGGCGGUCUGCUGGGCAGUUGCUGACACUGAUGCGCGACAGCGUGGGGAGCAAACAGGAUUAGAUACCCUGGUAGUCCACGCCGUAAACGAUGGGCACUAGAUGCUUGGGGGAGCGACCCCCUGAGUGUCGUCGCUAACGCAGUAAGUGACCCCGCCUGGGGAGUACGGCCGCAAGGCUG
rnacentral:rRNA from 1 species